CAGAGGUACUGCUAUCGAGAUUCGACUAAGCCAUGACGAGUUGAAUGUUCUUCGUGAACAUGGCGGACUGCUCAGUAACACGUGGACAACCUACCCUUGGGUCCGGCAUAAUCCUGGGAAACUGGGAAUAAUUCCGGAUAGGUCACCGAUGCUGGAAUGCGCGGUGGCCGAAAGCUCCGGCGCCCGAGGAUGGGUCUGCGGCCUAUCAGGGUUGUAGUGGGUGUAACGUACCUACUAGCCUACGACGGGUACGGGUUGUGAGAGCAAGAGCCCGGAGAUGGAUUCUGAGACACGAAUCCAGGCCCUACGGGGUGCAGCAGGCGCGAAAACUUUACAAUGCGGGAAACCGUGAUAAGGGGAUCUCGAGUGCCAGCAUAUAAUGUUGGCUGUCCAGAUGCCUAAAAAGCAUCUGUUAGCAAGGGCCGGGCAAGACCGGUGCCAGCCGCCGCGGUAACACCGGCGGCCCGAGUGGUAACCGCUAUUAUUGGGUCUAAAGGGUCUGUAGCCGGCCAGGUAAGUCCCUUGGGAAAUCUGGCAGCUCAACUGUCAGGCUGCUAGGGGAUACUGUUUGGCUUGGGACCGGGAGAGGUGAGAGGUACCUUGGGGGUAGGGGUGAAAUCUUGUGAUCCUCGAGGGACCACCAGUGGCGAAGGCGUCUCACCAGAACGGGUCCGACGGUAAGGGACGAAAGCUAGGGGCACGAACCGGAUUAGAUACCCGGGUAGUCCUAGCCGUAAACGAUGCUCGCUAGGUGUCAGUCACGGUGCGACCGUGAUUGGUGCCGUAGGGAAGCCGUGAAGCGAGCCACCUGGGAAGUAUGGCCGCAAGGCUGAAACUUAAAGGAAUKSGMGGRGSMSCACUACAACGGGUGGAGCCUGCGGUUAAUG
rnacentral:rRNA from 1 species